CAGUGUCGACAGAAGAGCUCACCGCCCAUAUGAUGGAACAAACAGACGGGACCUUGCUCAGAGAGUAACUCGUAUUAAAGCAUUCAUCAGCCUUCUGUUGCAUCCAUCGAAGCCACAGCUCUUGCAUCAGAGCAUUUCACUGAAAAAAUUAGAAGGUUUAACUGAUUGGCCAAAAAAUCCAGUCAAGUAUGUCAAAAGGCUUUUGACAGCAAGCAUUGCAUGAACUUGACAUGCGCAGCAAUGGAUUGACUAAGUUGGCAAAAUAUUUUCGAGGGAAAGCAUGGAUUAUAAAAGAUGGGCCUGCCAUAUGCACGUAA
rnacentral:lncRNA from 1 species